CCCAAGCUAUUAUUUUCCUUAUACAUUUAAUAUAAUUAAUACAGUUAAUAUAAUUUCCUUGUCUGAACUAGAGAAAUUGACUAGAUAAAGCCAUUCUAAGAGAAAAGACACGCAUUUUCAGACCGAAGAAUCUGUUUGCUCUACAGGUUUUUCCCAGAUGAGAUGCCUUCUCAGCCAAAAUUUGAAGUCCUGCCAGAAAGCGGAGGAGGAAGAAAUACCUUACCUGCUAAAAUUCUUUCUGAAGGGUAGAAGGAAGCUCACAUCCUCUCAGUGCACAUCUUCAGCAAAAAGUGUGCACAACCAGUACAUUGUAGAAUAAUGGAAGAUAGAUCUAUCUGAAAAAGGCCUCAGGAGGUCAUCUUAGCCAUUACCUCAUCUCCAGGCAGGACUGACCUCUACUUCAGAUUUGAAACAGGAUCUAUGUGGCUGCUGUGUGCUGCUGCGAUUGGAGGGGUGACUGGGGAGAUGCUCCAUUCCUGGAAAACGUUUCCUACUUCCUGCCAGACCUGGACAAGAUGAAUUAGUACUGAAAGAUCCCGCAGCAAAAAGCCUUUGAAGCUCACUUCUUAAGGUGCCGCUGUGACAACAGAUAAAAUGAGCUGGCAGAAAGGAAAGAAGGAACUUACAGAAGAAAGCACAGGAGAUGGGAAACACAGCCGGAAAAAGAGGGAGCGAAUAUUUAAGAAACGAUUAUCUGGACUGAGCCUCUUCUCUGGGUCUCCCAGGAAUAAACUCCCUCAGGGAAGGAGUCAGAGUUUUGAAGACAAGAAGAGAUGCUUACACAGGAAAGGCUCCAAAAAGCUGAAGCCGGCACGGGAGGAAAUCUGUUCUUUAAGGCAACCACACUCUGGAAAAAUGUGCCCGAAAUGUGAAAUCCUUGUCUGCCGAAAAUGUGAGACGCUGCAUUCAGAAAGCAGCUUCAUUGCUCACAGCCUGCUGGAUCACUACGACAGAGGAGGAUGUGGCAGCUCUACUACAUUGAUUACAAAAAGCCAGAAAGUGUGCAGAUGCGAUUAAAGAAAUACAGCAGGUGCCUUGUUGAUCCCUGACUACAUCCAAAAUGCCGAAGCUUGGAUCCAUUUAGGCUGAACCCUCAGUCUGUACAAUCUGUAUCGCAGCAUCAGCAACUGCAGCUCUACUGCUGUUCGUACUUACCAUAAGUAGCAGAUACGCAUCCACUCAUUUAACCAGUAUAAAGUCUGUAAGUAGGAACUGUAAGUGUCUCAGCUGUUAAGAAAAGGAAAUGAUUUCAAACAGCUUCAAAGAGUUUUAUUUUUCCCUGCAAGGAAUGAAGAUUAUCACACUGAGCUGCGAAAGAGAAAGCAAGUAUUAAAUGCCAAACCAGCGGGUACAUUACAAUUGUUUGUAAUGUGUAGGUAUGUUUCAGUGUUACUUGUGGUCUGGAAUAUUAAACUUAUUUUUAAAUUAA